UUUUCCAAGCUUUUUAAAGAACAACUGUUUUGAGCAAGUAUUUGUCUACAGCAGUCAAUGCGUGAGAUGUGUAAUAAGUGAAUGUCUCUCAGUAGGUAGAUUUUUUUUUUAUUGAACUAGACUAAUUUCAGCCUAUCGAGAUGAAAUAUGUUCCUUUUUUUUUUCUGUGGGUGGCGUCAUUCUGGGAAGCCUAGAAUUUGGAAGUAUAGGAUGGUCUGUGGCCAAAGUUGUCACAGCUUCCAUUUUUUUCUGUGAGUUUUUUUUUUUUUUCCCCAGUGUGUGGAUUGUUUAUUGGAGACUUUUUGCAAUCUAUACAGAGUCUCCAAUAGGUUUCUCCAUUUCAUGGACGGAGCUCCUAGCUUUGUUUUCCUAACGUUUACUCUGUAGCGUGUACCAAAUCUGCUGGUGUUCUGAAAGGUAUGCUUGAGGAUAUUGAUUCUGAUGAGAGUGGCAUGGCCAGAGGUCCCUAAAGGUGCUGGGAAAGUUCGAGACACAACUGUAGAAUCGCUUCUGAGAUUUGGGGAUGGUCCAAGAUCACCGCAGUCAAAUCUGACCUUGGGCCACUAUCCUUCACUGUGUUCCAACAGUCUCUGCUCAGAUUGUAGGAUUUUCAUUCCUAGGUCAUUUCGGGCCAGAGAAGAUAUGGUAUGGAAACAUUCUUCUCCAUUUUAUAAUCACAGAUUUGUGAAUCUGAUGGGGCGUGUCUUCAUUCUUCUGUCAGCUUCACAAAAGUGACUUUUCACCUCCAACUUUCCAUGACCUUGUCCAGCUUGUGGCCAUCCCCAGCCUGGGGAUGGCUCAGUUCUCCUCUUUGCCAGAACUCCCAAAGUUCCUUACCUGUUUAUCACUUACAAAACAUCACCUACCACUAGGGAGCGAAAAGGGAGAAUUAUGACAUGGACUAGAUCAUUGGAAAUCUGAGGUAAAGAACAAACAUGCUUCCUUAUCUCUAAAUUGGAAAUAGAGGAGAUAACGCUGAGAUGAAAUAUCUGUCCUACUAUAAGGUGAGUUGAAACAACAGUGUACGUUCAGCAUUUGGAAAUAAAAACUGCAAGGGUAUAUUUGUAAAUAGAGACAUUAAACGAAGAGAUUGCAGCUACUUUGCUGCAGAAAUGGACUUCACAGAUCUGCUGUGUGCAGAUUACUUACAGCGAAAUGACUGCAAAAUUAUGAACCAAAUGUUUGCUUUACCUUUUUUUUCCUUGAAAUUAUUUCUUCAGAUUUUGGCUUCAGAGAUGACACAGAGCAACGUGAGUUAAUCACAGGCGGAGGGCUGAUGAACAGCAUAUAAAUGUUGAUUUAUAAAAAUACUCUUUUAGGAAAUCCAAAUUGUUAGACCUUGAUCUUCUUCGCAGCUAGAAUGAUAAUUAGGCUUCAUUGCAGCAUAAAUAAUUUAUACUAUACAUCUGCUACCAGACAUACAUUGAAAAAAUUUGGCUCCCAAGCAUUAGGAAAAUUGCAUUUUCUCAUUUCUCUAAUACCAACCCAAAGCCCCUCUUGUGAGUGAGGACCCACAUCUGUGCCAUGUAUUUUCACAUAUCUGCAGCACACCUGGGGACAGGGUCUUUAGAAGGGGCUUCUGACCUGUGUGGGUCACAGAGUCCAGGAAGUGGUGGGAUAUGUAAGAGGUCCUGGAAUCCAUGGUAACAUUAAGGGUUGUUCACAUGUUGAAUAAGUAACGUCUCCCACAUUUAUGUGUAUGACUCUUUGGAAAUCCUAUAUAGUUGCUGUUGUUAUGAUGAAAUAUACAUGAAUAUAAGGGACCUGAAUUAUGAGGAGUUCUUUACUUAGAAUAGAUGUUCUUACCAGGAGUUAAAGCACAACCAUUAUAAACUAUUGUAAAUUUGACUGUUGUAAAAUGAGUUGAGCAACUCCUUUUGACUUUAAAACUGGGGAGUUCCGUCAUGGCGCAGCGGAAACGAAUCCGACUGGGAACCAUCAGUCGGAUUCCCUGGCCUCACUCAGUGGGUUAAGGAUCCGGCUUUGCGGUGAGCUGUGGUGUAGGUUGCACACACGGCUCAGAUCUGGCAUUGCUGUGGCUCCGAUUAGACCCCUAGCCUGGGAACUUCCAUAUGC
rnacentral:lncRNA from 1 species